GAUGAAAGAACGUAGCGAAAUGCGAUAAGUAAUGUGAAUUGCAGAAUUCAGUGAAUCAUCGAAUCUUUGAACGCACAUUGCGCCCCCUGGUAUUCCGGGGGGCACGCCUGUUCGAGCGUCAUUUCAACCCUCAAGCCCCCGGCUUGACGUUGGGCGCGGCCCCUCCCUCGGGGGGGGCCCGCCUGAAACCCCUCGGCGUCGCCGUCCGUCCCAGAGCGCAGCGAGUUUUCUGCCCGCGCUACUGGACCGGGCCGCUGGCCGCCGGUGAAUCCAUUUUCUCAAGGUUGACCUCGGAUCAGGUGGGGAUACCCGCUGAACUUAAGCAUAUCAAUAAGCGGAGGA
rnacentral:misc_RNA from 1 species